AACAUCGCGCACCUGCGGGAACCUGCGGAGGGAUCAUUAAAGAUUGACCGAAAGGUCUUAUCUCUAUAUCCCUCACCUCUGUGAACUGUGGACCUCCGGGUCUAUUUAACAAACAUCAGUGUAAUGAACGUAUAUAUCAUUAAACAAAACAAAACUUUCAACAAUGGAUCU
rnacentral:misc_RNA from 1 species